AGCAGCCGCGGUAAUUCCAGCUCCAAUAGCGUAUAUUAAAGUUGUUGCAGUUAAAAAGCUCGUAGUUGAAUUUCGGAAUCAGUAUGUUGGUCGUGCUUCGGUACGUACUGUCAUUACUGGUUUCUACCUUCUGAAGAACCUUGAUGUCAUUAAUUUGGUGUCUUGGGGAAUCAGGACUGUUACUUUGAAAAAAUUAGAGUGUUUAAAGCAAGCAUACGCUUGAAUACAUUAGCAUGGAAUAAUGAAAUAGGACGUUUGAUUCUAUUUUGUUGGUUUCUAGGAUCGACGUAAUGGUUAAUAGGGAUAGUUGGGGGCAUUAGUAUUCAAUUGUCAGAGGUGAAAUUCUUGGAUUUAUUGAAGACUAACUACUGCGAAAGCAUUUGCCAAGGAUGUUUUCAUUAAUCAAGAACGAAAGUUAGGGGGAUCGAAGACGAUCAGAUACCGUCGUAGUCUUAACCAUAAACUAUGCCGACUAGGGAUCGGAUGAUGUUAAUUUUUUAAUGACUCAUUCGGCGCCUUA
rnacentral:misc_RNA from 1 species